rnacentral:misc_RNA from 1 species
GAAAUGCGAUAAGUAAUGUGAAUUGCAGAAUUCAGUGAAUCAUCGAAUCUUUGAACGCACAUUGCGCCCGCCAGCACUCUGGCGGGCAUGCCUGUUCGAGCGUCCUUUCAACCCUCAGAACCCCUUGCGGGAUCUGGCGUUGGGGAUUGGCAUCCAGCCAGCCCCGAAAUCUAGUGGCGGUCCCUCCGCGACCUCCCCUGUGCAGUAGCGAUACCUCGCAGCGGGACAGCGGUCUGACCACGCCGUAAAACCCCCAACUUCUCAAGGUUGACCUCGAAUCAGGUAGGAAUACCCGCUGAACUUAAG